rnacentral:lncRNA from 1 species
AUGGUUCCGUUAAGAACAUUUUACACGUUGGAAAUUCCGUCUUCUCAGACGGCUUGCUGUUUCCUAGUUACCCACAUUCAAAGCAAAGGCAGCAGCAAAGGCAGCCGCAGCAGCAGCAGCAGGAAAAAAAAAAAAAAAGUUUUGGCAACUGGUCUGCAAUUCAUCCGCCGCUGGCCCCAGCCUCCCCCCUCCCCGGCAGCCCGCCCCCCACCCAUCACCUUUCCCCACCCCACCUCUUCUCUCCCCAUUAAGCAAUUUGCUGAGCCCUGUCCUCCAGAAAACAAGUUGCUUGGUUGCACAGUAUUUGAAUAUAAUGUUAAAAUACAAAGAAGCCAGUUCGUCCCUCUCGGGGUCUCCCCUCUGGGGCUGCGGCUGGGGGUGGAGGGCUGGGGUGGGGUGGGGUGGGGAGGGGAGGGGGGGAGGGCGCUGACUUUCCUCCAUCCCCUGCUCGGAGGCCACAAGGCACUUUUUUUUUUUUUUUUUUUUUGGCUUUCUUUUCUGCCAGGACAUUUCCAGGAAAUCCACCACUGUUUUCUGCCCGCAUUAGAAACGCGUGAAAGAAUUAGUUUGGAAAAGUCGGUGCAACGUCUAGCUUCUCCCUCGCCUUCUCCCCGGCGCUCUCCCUUCUUCCCCCUCCGCCCCCGCCCUCCCGCCCCCUCCUCCCCGCGCAGGGCCGCAGGAGCCCGGGAACGUCGGCUUCGACUGCCAUCUUUUGGGGAUUUGGAAAAACGACUCGGCGGAAAACGAGUCCCGGGACCGGGACGAUUCGGGCAGCGGCGAAUCGAGUCACCUGCUCGGCGGCCGCGCAGCCGGCUCUGCGCGCGGGGGCCCGGGGGGAGGCGCGCGGCGCUGGGGUCUCCCGCUAGGCGCCCCCGCCUGCCCCGCGGGUCAGGAGCCCCGCGCCUGCUUCCCGCGGCCCCGAGGCUGGGCUCGCCCCGCUCGCCUCCCCCACGUCCUGCGCGCCCCGGGCACCCCCACCCCCCUACUCACACCUCUGCGCUCCCAGCCCCCUCCCUCCUCCCAAAGCGGCUCGCUCCCCUUCUCCACCGAGGGGCCCCGGGCUCUCACCCCCCACGCACCCCUACGCCCCGCGGCCUCAGGUCUUGCAACUCCAGCCUGGGUAACCUUUCGCCUUCUCGCGCUCGCCUGCUUCACCCAGAGACCUGCACACGGGUGGGUGGGGGCGCUCGGCGAGGCCCCCCCGGAAGCGCCCUGCUGGAGGGGGGGCCCCCUGGGGCCUCAAACAACCAGAUGCCUCCGUCUGGGGGGAGAGCCCUGCGCCCCUGGGCGGUGCCACCUCCGGGAGACCCAGCAAAGCUGCAAGCGCCCCUGCAGACGCCCCCCCUGCCCCCCAACUCUGGCUCCGAGCGGCGUCUGGCACCGCGGGGAGAUGCAGGCGGGCCACGCGCCGCGUCCCCGCUGGCCGACCCACGAGGCGCCAGCUCGUCCUGGAGACUCAGUUUCCCCCGGACGGUCGUGGAAGCGGGGGAAACACAAGGCCAGGGCUGUGCGGACCCACGUACCCCACCCGACCGCGUUCUCCAGAGGUGCCUUUUCAGGUGGUCCCUAAACUGUGAAGGGCCCGCUUUGUGUGUUAUCUACUGGGGGUGGGGAUGGGGGAGAAGGAGACUCCCACCGCCCGCUCCCGUCUUUAAUGUCUGAAAUAACGAAAUGCCUGUGUGGCAGCUGCUGCUUGAGCCAAAACUAACUCUUUGGAAGACGGAAAAGAGUGAAAGGCAAAGAAAGACUGUUCAUUUUUUUUCCUUUGGUGCCGUUUGGGAUGUCAUCUGUUUCCUUGGCGACUGUGUUCAGCCCCCGGAGCCCCUGGGCUCCUGGAUUGUUAGGGGGGAAAAAGCAUGCUAUUUCUGCACCGUCAUUUAUCACUGUCACCGCAUAAUGAUUCCCCUUGCAGCCCCUUAUUGAUGUUUGUAAUUGCAUUAUCUCAUAAAGGAGGAUGAUCAAUGAAACCGAGCCGUGCAUUCUGGGGUCAGAGGAAGCCAAAGUACUGUUUGUCCCCUUUAAUACAACAAGUACUCAUUAUCUUUAGGUCUGCAUUCAAAAAAUGAUCUGAUCUGGGGCUGACCCUGUCGGACAUCCCAACACUUUUUAAAACGCGGUUUGUGUAACCUUUUGCUUAAAUGCUAAAUCAAGUACCUGUCUUGCAUUUCAACGAAACAAGAUGCUGAAACUGAAUGGGAGAAGGUUGCUUCCCUUUUCUUACUUUCUUUCUUUCCUUUUUUUUUUUUUUUUUUUCCUGAGAGGGGUGCGGUCGUCUGUAGCCUCCCGCGAUUUUACACUGCAACUGCUUAGUGCUAUAGUGUAGAAAAAAGCAGCGCCCAACAACAAGGGACCCAAGUUCUCUAAGGAAUGAAAAAAAAAUGGGGGUGAGUGGGUAAAAGGUAUCUGGGAGCAUUUAACAAGGUCGCUACUAAAAGAUCAGAAUAAAACCACAUCCGGUUUAAUUAAUAAGAGCUAUAAACUGAGAUAAUUCCCCACGAUUCUGCCCUCGCUGCUCGCUUUUACAGACUCAUAUCUCUUCGGUUUAGAUAAAUGACUUUUGUGCCUGUUCGAUUCUCACAACAACAAUAACUAAAUCAGUUGCACGUUCUGUAUCUAAAACCCUCUACAAACUCCAGCAAAUAAAAAGAAGUUCAUUUGUCUAUUAAGGGAAGUAUUUAGUUGAGCAGAAAUGUCCCAGCAACGCUGAAUGGAGUUCAUGUAAUCCCAUGAAAAUCAAGUCAUCUUGUUGCACUGAAGUAAAUGAAAAAAUACAAAGGAGGAAAGGUCCAAGUGUAAUUUUAAACUAAAUGCAUUAUUGCACCGUCACAGUGGAAACGUGAUUGUGUGGCUGGGAGGGAGUGGACAGCAACUCAGCUCACAGUUAACUUAAAGGUUUUAGAAAGGAAACAAGUAUCCCAGGUUUGGUUAUCAUUUUAAUUUGUGGAAAGAGGAGAAAUGGAGAUCAUUCUAGUUCAUCACGUCCAUAAAUUAGGGUGAAAAACCCCUCCAAAGACAAAGUAAAGCAAAGAGCUUAUUUUAAGCAUUGCAAGGCGGUAUUACCAGAAAGACUGAGAAGUUCCCAGUCUUCUGAAGAUGAAUUUUCCUUAUGUUAAUGACUACCCACCCCCCUCCCCCCCAAAAAAUAAAUGACAGAAAGAAAAGAAAAAGGAGAGAAGGAAGGGAAGAAAAGACCGACCGAGUCUGUGGGCUUAUUUUUCAAGUUUUAGAAAUAAUUUUAAAUCCACAAUAUACAUCAACAUUUUAAAAUAAAAAGAUCUAAAUGAAAAGCUCUCACCGAAUGAGAAAAUGAGUAGUUAAAUAAAACAGAGUGUGUUCCUAUAAUUUGACACCUUGACCCGAAACCUUAAAUCGAAUGCUAACGAUAACAAAGGGCUGAAAUAUUCCCAUUUGGAAAAAUAACUUUACUGAUAAAACUAAGAGAAGUUUCGACUGUGUCGAAGUAUCACUUAAUUUUUCCCUAGGAGGCGGGUUCUUCUAAAAAGUAUUAUUUUCCAGCAAUUCUAUCAAAUCACUUUGAAAUAAUAUAUGUUUUGUAUUAUUUAAAUAUUCUGGCACUUUCGUUCUUUGAAAGUGCUCAAAGUGAAAUGGAUAUGCAGCAGCGCAUAUAUUUAAUAUAAAUGGUAUCUUGUCGUUAACAUAAAAUAUUAAAGGGAAAAUAAACUUUGGGCUUUGUCAGUCGAGAUAGAAUUUUUUAGCAUAAUACCCUUUUUCAGAACACACAAAUGGAACCCUUUGAUUUUAACCAAUCAACACAAGUCUUUCUCUUAUUUGGUUGGGGAUCUGGCUCCGUGUACGUUUUCUAUUUUUAAUAUUUAGUGUUAUAGCCCACGGUUAAAAUAAUGAAAAAUUAGUCUCGUUUCAGAAAUUAUUUAUUUAUGGAACGAACAUGAUUAAAACAUAAACACACACACAAACUGCAGCUGCAACAGAAAAAAAAAAAACAACCUGAUUUACGGUUAUUAAAUCUUUGAUCGCCAUGUUAAUGUUUCUUUUUCUACCUUUCAUUUGCAUUUUAAUCUAUCGAAUCUUUACAAUUUUGCUGCCUCCUAUUUCCAUGAUUGAUUACAGAUCUGAAAUAAGAAAAACCAAGCCUAGCUUUUCUUUCUUUCUUUCUUUCUUUCUUUCUUUCUUUCUUUCUUUCUUUCUUUCUUUCUUUCUUUCUUUCUUUCUUUCUUUCUUCUUUCUUUCUUUCUUUCUUUCUUUCUUUCUUUCUUUCUUUCUUUUCUUUCUUUUUCUUUUUCUUUCUUUCUUCUUUUUUUUUUCCUCUCCUUUUUUCUCUCCCCCUUCCUCCCCCCCCCCACCCCCCCGCUCCCCGGGUGGAUUUCUGAAACUUUCUCUCAAUGCUAAUGUAGACAGGACAAAUUAAUUCUGCUCUUUUAAAUGUCAAAGGUAUAAAUAAAAAAUGUUUUCUGUCCCAAACGUGAAUAUUUUCCCAGCCGCCGGUUUCCGAGUCGUAAAAGCCCUUAUCCCAGCCCAGCGCAGUGCACGGCGAGCUGCAGACGCGCGCUCGGCGGCGCGGAUGCUCUAAGGGGCGCGUGGAGCAGGAAAGGUGAGGAGUUCAUCGUCCCUGCAGCAUCCGCCGCCGGCCUCGGGCCCCCCGUCCCUCUGCACCCCCCCCCCAUUGGGGCCCGAGGGUGGCCGCGUCCCAGUCCCACCGUCGCCCCCGAGCCCGGCGGGGGCUCGCUGUGGCUCCAGGAGGUUUCUUGGCACAAGCAGUAGAAAGACAAAAGGGAGGCGACGCGGGGCUGUUUGUUUUCUCUCCCGGCCUACCCUGCCCCUUGGCCCCGGCCCCCGCCCCCGGCCCCCCCCCACGCCCCGGCCCCGGCCCCGGCCCCGGCCCCGGCCCCGACGCGGCGCUCCGGGAGCCAGGCGCGGCUCGGGCUCCGCGGGGCUGCACGCAGGCUGCCCCCCUCCCCUCCCCUCCCCUCCCCUCCCCGCGGGGCCGCCUCCCCGAGCGCCCCCCGCCCGCCGGGAGCCGGUCCCAGGUGCGCGGGGGAGGCCGGCGGGGCGCGCGGGCAGGGACCCCCACGCCCCCGGGGCGCCUCCGCGGGGUCUCAGCGGCCGAGCGCGGCCCGACCUCGCGGGCGGCUCCAAGGGCCGCGCGGUGCCCCGGCGGGGAUGGGGGCGCCGGGAGGAGCCGAGGG